AUACGGAGGGUCCAAGCGUUAUCCGGAAUCAUUGGGUUUAAAGGGUUCGCAGGCGGUUCAUUAAGUCAGUGGUGAAAUCUCUCGGCUCAACCGAGAAACUGCCAUUGAUACUGAUGGACUUGAAUAUAGUUGGAGUAGGCGGAAUGUGUAGUGUAGCGGUGAAAUGCUUAGAUAUUACACAGAACACCGAUAGCGAAGGCAGCUUACUAAACUAUUAUUGACGCUCAUGAACGAAAGCGUGGGGAGCGAACAGGAUUAGAAACCCUAGUAGUCC
rnacentral:rRNA from 1 species